UAUCUGUAUUUUACUAUUUUUUUUUACAGGAUCUGGGAUACUAAAUCAAAUAAAGCAGUCACUACAAUCAAUACAAAGGGUGAGAAUAUAAACAUCUCUUGGUCUCCUGAUGGUAAAACUAUUGCUGUCGGAAACAAGGAGGAUCUCGUCACUUUCAUUGAUU